rnacentral:rRNA from 1 species
GUGGAUUAGAUACCCGGGUAGUCCACGCUGUAAACGAUGAAUACUAGGUGUGGGGGACGUAGGUCUUCCGUGCCGCAGUUAACACAAUAAGUAUUCCACCUGGGGAGUACGGCCGCAAGGUUGAAACUCAAAGGAAUUGACGGGAGCCCGCACAAGCAGUGGAGUAUGUGGUUUAAUUCGACGCAACGCGAAGAACCUUACCGGAGCUUGACAUCCUGGGAAAGCCGAGUAAUGUUGGCUGUGCCCUUCGGGGAAUCCAGAGACAGGUGGUGCACGGUUGUCGACAGCU